UACGAAGGGGGCUAGCGUUGUUCGGAUUUACUGGGCGUAAAGGGCGCGUAGGCGGCCACCGCAAGUCGGUUGUGAAAUCUCCGGGCUUAACCCGGAAAGGUCAAUCGAUACUGCGGGGCUAGAGUGCAGAAGGGGCAACUGGAAUUCUCGGUGUAGCGGUGAAAUGCGUAGAUAUCGAGAGGAACACCUGCGGCGAAGGCGGGUUGCUGGGCUGACACUGACGCUGAAGCGCGAAAGCUAGGGGAGCGAACGGG
rnacentral:rRNA from 1 species